GACGAACCGUGCGAACGUUAUUCGGAAUCACUGGGCUUAAAGCGCGUGUAGGCGGGCCGGCACGUCCGUGGCUGAAAGCCCCGGCUCAACCGGGGAAGUGGCGCGGAUACGGCCGGCCUGGAGGGGGGGGUAGGGGACCUGGAACUUCCGGUGGAGCGGUGAAAUGCGUUGAGAUCGGAAGGAACGCCCGUGGCGAAAGCACUCUGCUGGGCCGACACUGACACUGAGAGACGAAAGCUAGGGGAGCGAAUGGG
rnacentral:rRNA from 1 species